CGGGAUUGGGAGGAGCCUGUGCGUACUCUUAUUCCGCCAGAAGUGGUUGGUGCGACUCAUGUCCGGGAUUCGGAUCGCCCAAGGCAGGAUGUACGAAAGAGACGCAGCACAGCCAGGCCACAACCCACACUGCCAAGAGAUGCAGAUGCUGGCGAUGCAGGUCCUUCUUCAUCAAACACCCCUCCACUAAGACGACCAUCACAGGGCU